GAGUGAUAAUCAUUGGUAAAAAUUUUAAGCCUAAGAAUUCUGAAAGAUAAACACAUUACCUUCAUUUGAGUACGCUUGUUUUGGAACCAAAAUUUUACUUGUAAAGGCUCCAAUCCUAAUUGACGUCCAAGCUCUUUCCUUUGUUUAUCAUCUGGGUGAGGGCAUUCCUUAAAAAAACUGUAAAUGAAAAUAUUUCGUGAAAAAAAUGAAUAAAUGUCUCUUAAUUAUUUAAUUCUGUCCGGCACUUGACUUACGCUUCCAUUUCUGUGAUUUGAUGCUGGGUAUGGCGAUGAUAACGCUUCUUUUUGGGUCGUGGAUUUGGAUCUCCAUCAUCACCAGAAGGUGCUUCCAUUAUAUCAGUCACCGAUUUGCUGUCGAAUUCAUCAUCCUUAAUAAGGUCCAUCUCAUUUUCUGGUGUUUUAUGGAUCAUGUCCAGCAAGGAAUGGUGGCUAUCAAACAUGUUUGGCUGAAACAUCAUGAUGUUCUUAAGUAACAAACUUAAAAUUUUCCAAUCAGCUGCAAGAAGAUGAACAAAAGAAUUAAGCGAAACAAUUUUAACAAAAGAUUAAUAUAAUUAAGAAAUAAUUAUAGUUUAAAACAAUUGACAUGAGAGACAAGCUUAAAAUUUUCCAAUCAGCUGCAAGAAGAUGAAACAAAAAAAUUAAGCGAAACAAUUUUAACAAAAAAUUAAUAUAAUUAAGAAAUAAUUAUAGUUUACAACAAUUGACAUGGCAGAACUAUACAUCAAGAAAAAAAGGAUUGCGCCAUAUGGAAUCUGGAAAUGCGAUUAGGGAAUAAAAAAAUUCUAUUAAGGCUCAGAUCUUGUGACUUUUGAGAGUGUGUAAUGUACGAAAAAAGGUGCUUUAGCGUUUAUAUCGAGAAUGAUUUCAUUGGAAGUACUUUUAUUCCCUACUUCUUUGUUUAAUCAGAUCUUGAAAUGGUUUGACUCUUGACACAAAACAGUAUAUCAUAAACACUUUUUAACAUGACAACGAAAUUAAUUUUUGUGGGAACCUGAUACUGUUCAUCAGAAUUCUGUUUAAAUUGUGAGAAAUAACAAUGUAAAAAAUGGUAUGAUAAGAGUAACUCUAUAUCUGUAUCUUGAAUUCUUCUUGCAUUCAGUGGAAUUUUAGGUUUGCAAAAUUCACUGACCUUUUUUAUAGGUUUUCAGACUCGCCUGAAAAUUCUUGGCACGAGACUUCUUCCUAUGCCCUUGAAGCUGCACAUCUUCACCAUGAAACCCUAGAAACUUCUCUCUCUCUCUCUCUUUAUAUAUAUAUCUUUCUCCCUCUAAAUUGAGGUCUAGCUUUUUGGUUU
rnacentral:sRNA from 1 species